GGGGGAGGGAUGGUCAAAGAGAAGAUUGCAGAGAACCAAAGGAUUGCGGUCUGACAUGGGAUUUAGGGAAGCUGCGGGAAGGACCAAAAUGAAAGCGGAAUUGAGAGUUCUAGAGACAAAGUGAAAGUAACUAAUUAUUCACUCUGGGAGAAACCAGCUGCCAUGUCAUAAGGAUACUCAAGAUGCACUCUGCAAUGUCCACAUGGCAAAAAACUCAGUGCUUCUGCCAAUAGGAAGCCCAAGAACUUGAGCUUUCUGCACAGUCAGCCUUAAAAUGACUAUAGUUUGGGAUGACAUCUUGACUGCAACCUCAUGAGAGACGCUGAGCCAGAACCCCCUUGGUAAGGUGCUCCUAAAUUCCUGAACCACAGCAGAAAUUGUGAGAUAAUAUUUAGUGCUUUAAUCUACUAGAUUUUGAGGUAAUUGUCUUUCAAGACACAGUUUCACUCUUGUCACCCAGGCUGGAGUGCGAAUGGCAUGAUCUCCUCUUACUGCAACCUCCACCUCCUGGGUUCAAUCGAUUCUCCUGCCUCAGCCUCCAAAGUAGCUGGGAUUAUAGGCACCCACCACCAUGCCUAGCUAAUUUUUGUAUUCUUAGUAGAGACGGAGUUUCACCAUGUUGUCCAGGCUGGUCUCAAACUCUUGAGCUCAGGUGAUCCACCCUCCUUGGUCUCCCAAAGUGCUGGGAUUACAGUUUUACGCCACCACACCCGGCCUUGAAUUAAUUUGUACACAGAUAACUAAUACAUUGAUGCUCCUUCUAAAUAAAGUGCCAUUUUUGUUCAAGAAGCCUUAGCAUAACAAAUAUCCCAAUCCUGUGAAUCUCUAGAAGUUGUCAUGUAGUAAAUGAUUACUGACACACUAUAAGUUAUAAUACCUUAAGAAUAAUAUACUGUUCAUUCAGUACUUAAUAUAUACAUACAUGAAUUUUAUAAACACAGAAACUUAGCCUAAGAAUCUGCCUAAUUCCCCUAUUAUUAACAUCAUACGUGAGUAUGGUACAUUAGUAAUGAUCAAUGAACAAAUAUCAAUCUAUUAUUACUAAUUAAAUUUCACACUUUAUUCAAAUUUCCUUACUUUCUCUUUAAUCUCUAAAGUUCUAUGAAUCCAUGGUUCUAUUUCUGCACUGAUUCACUUGUGUUUUUACUACAGACUUCUGCAUCUAAAAUACUAUUUUUACUAGAUUAUUUUACCAAACUAAUUUCACUGAAUGUCUUCCAAAGUAUGAACACUUUUAUUUUAAAGUUUUCUUAAUAUUCUCAUGGCAACAUCAAAAUUUAAGGAAGUCUGUUUGUCAUCAGAAAGGGGUUUUGGUAACUUGUUCUGUUAGGUUUGCAAACUUUUCAUACUAUUUGUUCUUACAUCACUUCCAUGCUAUUUCCUUUGCUUUUAGGGCAUUACUUUUUUUCAAAAUGUUGAAAUAAAUAAAUGUUUAUACAUUAUAUUUUUAAGUAUCUAUUUCCUUAAUCUACUAAGGUAAACUUUUCUCAAGCCAUUUUUACUUAAAAGGAUAUUACAUAGAAAAAAAUAGUAGGAGAACAAUAAUAUCUGACACAUUUCAAAUGUUCUUUGAACUUUGUUAGUUUAGUGUCAGUUAUUGACUGCUUGAAUUGGAGAACGCCCUGCUCAUAUCAGUUACAGCCAGUCAAAAUUAUCAAGAACACAUCACAGGAAUCACUGUCAUCAGUUAUUGAUAGGAAGAUUGCACAGUGAGUUGAUGUAUUCAAUAGAAGAUUGUAUGUGGUAGAAAGAAAAUAAAAAUUGUAAAUGUAAGUCAACAGUAAAUCCAAAAGCCAUGUCUUCCAAGGGAAAUUUAAAAACUAGGUUUCCUACUUCCUUUCAUCAUUACAAGAGUUAUUCAUUUCUGGUUCAAAAAUCUUGUUUACCUCCUUUUGAAAGUUAUUCUUUAAAACAUUAGGCCAGAUGAGCUAAUUUCAGAUGGCUUAUUUACCUGAUCUUGGAUUUAUAUGCCACCUGCUUUUGCUUUUUCUACAGAUGCAAAGUCAACCUCUGGGGCAAAAUUCCACCUUUCUCUUUCUGCCACACAAGUGGUAAAUAACAUGACCCAAUAAAUUUUAGCAUUUCCCCAAAUGUGUAGGAUACAAAAAAUGUAUUCAUUCAUGUGAGAUAUAAAAAUGUACACUCACACUUCUGAAAUCAGCAGCCAGCCAUUUCACACUUGGGCCAAAGGCAAACAAACAUAAUUCUCACUGGCAGCUGGACAACAUUCCGAGCUGCCACCACAUUAAUUAACUCACCUCAAUCGGAUUCCACUUCAACUUGCACAGCUUGCUGCCAAGAAACCUAGCAAUAAAUUGUCAGGUUAAAUACUGAACAAGGUAGGGAAAUACCAUAUGGUAUGUUGUUAUAGAGGGUGGGAUAUUCUUGUUUAACACUAGUAGCAGAGUUUUCCAUUUACUUUUUAUUGUUGUCUCUUGUGAUUUGAGAAAAAUGAAUAUAUGUUCUUGUUGAUAAAUGAACUUGCAUGCCUUAUUGUGAAGGGGAACGAAUGGGAUGGUAACAAGUUAACAAAACACCUUUGUCCACAAGCUUCUAUAGUUGAUAUCCCCUAAAUCUGAAGACAACAGCUUACUUAACAAGUGCUGGGUAAAUUAUUGGUAUUAAACCUUUGGGGAAUGUCAAGGAACAAAGAACUCAAAUUCCCUUAUUGGGAAUUUAUAAAUAAAUGCAAACUACUUAUAACUAAAAAUUGUAGCUUGGGAGUCAAGAUUUAAGUAUGAGUCCAGUUUCUGCCUCUGACUGGCUGUCCACUUCAGCCAAAUCAUUUGACUUCUCUCAAAUUAUGUCCUGUCACAUGAAGGAGUAGAAUGGUUCCCAAACCUUAAUGCACACAUCAUUUUAAGAAGCUUGUUAAAAAUGCAGAUUCUGACUGCGGUGGCUCACGCCUGUAAUCCCAGCACUUUGGGAGGCCAAGGCUGGUGGAUCAUGAGGUCAGGAGUUCGAGACCAGCCUGGCCAACAUGGUGAAAACCCAUCUCUACUAAAGAUACAAAAAAUUAGCUGGGCAUGGUAGCACGGGCACCUGUAAUCCUAGCUACUCAGGAGGCUGAGGCAAGAGAAUUGCUUGAACCCAGAAGGCGGAGGUUGCAGUGAGCCAAGAUUGCACCAUUACACUCUAGCCUGGGCAACAGGGCGAGAUUCUGUCUCCAAAAAAAGAAAGGAAAAGAAAAAAAUGCAGUUUCUUGGAUUCCACCCUUGGCUUGAAAUUGAUUAGUUUUGACAUACAGCCUAGUAAUCUGAAUUUAUAAUAAGCAAGAAAUUAUUUUGUAGAUAUAGAACCCAUACUUUGAGAAAUAACUGGACUACAUUUUCUAUCCCUUUACCUCUGACAGUGUAUUAUUCUAAUUACCAAUCAGUAUCAUUGUUUUUAUAACUUGUGGUGUGAUUUUGGAAAGUGGUAUAAUUGGGAAUGGUAACUCGAGGCUUAAUAUACAAUAGGUAGUUCAAAACCCUAGUGGAAAAAGAAUGAGAACAUUUGAAUGUGACUACCCAAAUACCUGUGAGCAUUUUCCUGGGGUUGUAGGAUGGGUGAUAGCUGACUGACUGUUCCCUCCAGAAAAUUUGCCUGUAUACAUAGUAAGACUCCAAAUAUAAACAAAGAAAAACACUGAAAACCAUCCUACAGCUUUAUUCAUAUUCCUGAUCACUCACCCAAGAGAAGACUUUCUGUGCCCUAAGGGUAUUGUUACGAAUGCUCAUUUCUUUGCUUCUUGUGUAUCUGGUAUAUUCUGCUUCUUUGUUAAAUUCCAAAAUCAAAAACAAGUAUUUUGUAUUUGUGAGAUUUCAAAAGUCUAGGAACUUUUGAAAACCUCAUUCUUUUAGCUUCUAAGACAUGAUUUGAUAAGUAAAGAGAAAGCUCUUACUGGAAAAAGCUCAUAACUUAUUAAAUAGGUGCGUAUGAAUUUAUACUAAUUCACAUAUCUUUUUCCAACUGAUUCCUCUUAUGACUAGCAGAAAGCCGUAAUACAGCUGUCUGGGGCCAGCCUUAAAUUAGGAAGAGGGCAUGCUUAACAGGUCACAUAAGAGGGUGUGCAACACAGGCUUUUCUCACCAUGUCACAAAAUUAACAGACUUGACACUCCAAAACUAGACAUUAUUAGUUUACUUUUAAAACUGUGAAAUUACCUUUGUUAUUAGUUUCUAUCAGUGGGGAUUGUAAAAUGACAAUGUGGUAGUUGCUUUGAAGAAGUCUGAUUCUCUUAUAUUUAAUCAGUUCUUUCCAAGCUGCUCUAAUUGUCACAAACAUUCCCAAGUUUUAAUAAUGUUCCUCAGAGUAUGGAUAGAUUAUCCUUAUUGGUCUUUGUAUUCUCCUCAGCCACUAAAAUCUGGCUCUUAACUUGUAAAUUCUCAAUAAUGGAAUGUUGCCCUAAGAUAUUUUGGCAGAAAAGCAAGUGUUGAAUCCUGCUGCAGACUUCCUCAUCCCCUGCAGGUGGUGCUGGGAGAUAGGUUCUCUAUUUACUUAUUUAAUCAUAAUUAGUUGGGCUAGUAAAGGUGUUCUCAGUUCUUGGUUUAAAGCUGUUGCAAUUAUCUAAAGUUCUUCCUCCCCUUCACUGUUGUUAUUGAGUUACAGAGGAGAAGAAAAAGACUAAAAAAGGUGAUCCAACUGAAGAGAACAGAGACAUUAAGAUAACAGAUGGUGUCUCCCAUGCCUAGCAGUAGAAAGAUGCUGCAGGGCUUUAGAAGAAAGAGAAUUUGUACACUCUUACUUUCAAAAGAGAACACAUAUUCAGGAAAUUUUUCUGUAGAACUAUCUGACUAUCUCACCAGAUCUACUGUAUUAACUCUAGUACUGAAUCUGUCAUCCUUAUAUGUCAAAUAUUUCUCACCAUCGUCAUAUAUCAGUGGUUGUUAGUAUUUGGGACUUAGAGGUUUCCUGUACAACGCAGUUUAUGACACCACCCAAUUAUGGUUAGCAGCUCUUUCCUCUGUCUUCAUCCAGAUUAAUGAAUGUAUUGCUUAUUUUACUAUCUGAAUCUUCCACUUAGUUGGGAGCUCCUAUAAAGUACAGAUUGUGUCUUUAUCAUCUUUGAAUCACUAGUUCUUACCUUGCUUCUUUGAAUGUAGUAAACACUAAAUACAUUAAAAGAGUAAAGCAAUCAACAAAUCAAUUAGAAUAGUGCCAGCCAUAUAACUUUAGAAUUGCCUGAAACCAAGUAUGAAUUUCUUUUCUAUCAUUCCUGCCCUGAAGCUUUCUGAUGCCAAAAUUAGAGGUCAGUGAAGAUGGUUCUGAUUAAAGAAGCUGGUAUUUUUAAUUGAUAGAACAUGAUCCCCCAACAUACAUUUCUAGCCAUAGCUCCUCUACCUCCCCCAUAUGAAUCUUUCACAACUACCAGACUGGUCUGUUCGCUCUCUCUAUAACAUGCCUUAUGCCUUCCUACCUCUGAAAUUAUGCCAUCCCUCUAUUUUGCCCGUAGUUUCUUUUAAUCAGUGGUUCUAAGAGUGCUUCUCGGAGGCCCGCUCACAAUGGCAGUGCUGUGGUCACAAUAACACUAAGAUGGUGCUUGCCUUUUUACUCUCGCAUUCUGUUACAGGUGUACAGUAGAGUUUUCCAGAGACUACAUGACAUACAGCAUCACAUGCUUCAGUAUAACCGAAGCAAAUAUAAGAAUCCACCAGUUUUCUAUUAAAAUGUAAAACAAUACCACUUUCCCGUUUUUGUUUGGGGAAAUACAGUUACUUUCCAUAAAAAUAUUUAUGUUAACAUGUAAUUUAGGUUAAAAUAAAUUAAUACCUAU